rnacentral:ncRNA from 1 species
AUAAAUGCGAAGAUAGGAAGUAGUAAAGAAUUAACACUUUUAGAGAGGGAAAUCUUGAGCUGGAAAUUUCCUAAGUAUGUUAAUCUUGAAGUCGUCCUUGAUGCAGUUUCUCUGAAUAAUUAGUAAGAGAGAUCGGUGUAUUGACCGUUAUCCAAACAUGAGUGUACAAACAAUUCUUUGUUUGUAAACAAAGGUGGUACCACGGAAAUUAUACCCUUUUCGUCCUUUUU